rnacentral:rRNA from 1 species
UUAAGCGACUAAGCGUACACGGUGGAUGCCCUGGCAGUCAGAGGCGAUGAAGGACGUGCUAAUCUGCGAUAAGCGUCGGUAAGGUGAUAUGAACCGUUAUAACCGGCGAUUUCCGAAUGGGGAAACCCAGUGUGUUUCGACACACUAUCAUUAACUGAAUCCAUAGGUUAAUGAGGCGAACCGGGGGAACUGAAACAUCUAAGUACCCCGAGGAAAAGAAAUCAACCGAGAUUCCCCCAGUAGCGGCGAGCGAACGGGGAGCAGCCCAGAGCCUGAAUCAGUGUGUGUGUUAGUGGAAGCGUCUGGAAAGGCGCGCGAUACAGGGUGACAGCCCCGUACACAAAAAUGCACAUGCUGUGAGCUCGAUGAGUAGGGCGGGACACGUGGUAUCCUGUCUGAAUAUGGGGGGACCAUCCUCCAAGGCUAAAUACUCCUGACUGACCGAUAGUGAACCAGUACCGUGAGGGAAAGGCGAAAAGAACCCCGGCGAGGGGAGUGAAAAAGAACCUGAAACCGUGUACGUACAAGCAGUGGGAGCCUCUUUUAUGGGGUGACUGCGUACCUUUUGUAUAAUGGGUCAGCGACUUAUAUUCUGUAGCAAGGUUAACCGAAUAGGGGAGCCGAAGGGAAACCGAGUCUUAACUGGGCGUUAAGUUGCAGGGUAUAGACCCGAAACCCGGUGAUCUAGCCAUGGGCAGGUUGAAGGUUGGGUAACACUAACUGGAGGACCGAACCGACUAAUGUUGAAAAAUUAGCGGAUGACUUGUGGCUGGGGGUGAAAGGCCAAUCAAACCGGGAGAUAGCUGGUUCUCCCCGAAAGCUAUUUAGGUAGCGCCUCGUGAAUUCAUCUCCGGGGGUAGAGCACUGUUUCGGCAAGGGGGUCAUCCCGACUUACCAACCCGAUGCAAACUGCGAAUACCGGAGAAUGUUAUCACGGGAGACACACGGCGGGUGCUAACGUCCGUCGUGAAGAGGGAAACAACCCAGACCGCCAGCUAAGGUCCCAAAGUCAUGGUUAAGUGGGAAACGAUGUGGGAAGGCCCAGACAGCCAGGAUGUUGGCUUAGAAGCAGCCAUCAUUUAAAGAAAGCGUAAUAGCUCACUGGUCGAGUCGGCCUUGCGCGGAAGAUGUAACGGGGCUAAACCAUGCACCGAAGCUGCGGCAGCGACGCUGAUGCGUUGUUGGGUAGGGGAGCGUUCUGUAAGCCUGUGAAGGUGUGCUGUGAGGCAUGCUGGAGGUAUCAGAAGUGCGAAUGCUGACAUAAGUAACGAUAAAGCGGGUGAAAAGCCCGCUCGCCGGAAGACCAAGGGUUCCUGUCCAACGUUAAUCGGGGCAGGGUGAGUCGACCCCUAAGGCGAGGCCGAAAGGCGUAGUCGAUGGGAAACAGGUUAAUAUUCCUGUACUUGGUGUUACUGCGAAGGGGGGACGGAGAAGGCUAUGUUGGCCGGGCGACGGUUGUCCCGGUUUAAGCGUGUAGGCUGGUUUUCCAGGCAAAUCCGGAAAAUCAAGGCUGAGGCGUGAUGACGAGGCACUACGGUGCUGAAGCAACAAAUGCCCUGCUUCCAGGAAAAGCCUCUAAGCAUCAGGUAACAUCAAAUCGUACCCCAAACCGACACAGGUGGUCAGGUAGAGAAUACCAAGGCGCUUGAGAGAACUCGGGUGAAGGAACUAGGCAAAAUGGUGCCGUAACUUCGGGAGAAGGCACGCUGAUAUGUAGGUGAAGUCCCUGCGGAUGGAGCUGAAAUCAGUCGAAGAUACCAGCUGGCUGCAACUGUUUAUUAAAAACACAGCACUGUGCAAACACGAAAGUGGACGUAUACGGUGUGACGCCUGCCCGGUGCCGGAAGGUUAAUUGAUGGGGUCAGCGCAAGCGAAGCUCUUGAUCGAAGCCCCGGUAAACGGCGGCCGUAACUAUAACGGUCCUAAGGUAGCGAAAUUCCUUGUCGGGUAAGUUCCGACCUGCACGAAUGGCGUAAUGAUGGCCAGGCUGUCUCCACCCGAGACUCAGUGAAAUUGAACUCGCUGUGAAGAUGCAGUGUACCCGCGGCAAGACGGAAAGACCCCGUGAACCUUUACUAUAGCUUGACACUGAACAUUGAGCCUUGAUGUGUAGGAUAGGUGGGAGGCUUAGAAGUGUGGACGCCAGUCUGCAUGGAGCCGACCUUGAAAUACCACCCUUUAAUGUUUGAUGUUCUAACGUUGACCCGUAAUCCGGGUUGCGGACAGUGUCUGGUGGGUAGUUUGACUGGGGCGGUCUCCUCCUAAAGAGUAACGGAGGAGCACGAAGGUUGGCUAAUCCUGGUCGGACAUCAGGAGGUUAGUGCAAUGGCAUAAGCCAGCUUGACUGCGAGCGUGACGGCGCGAGCAGGUGCGAAAGCAGGUCAUAGUGAUCCGGUGGUUCUGAAUGGAAGGGCCAUCGCUCAACGGAUAAAAGGUACUCCGGGGAUAACAGGCUGAUACCGCCCAAGAGUUCAUAUCGACGGCGGUGUUUGGCACCUCGAUGUCGGCUCAUCACAUCCUGGGGCUGAAGUAGGUCCCAAGGGUAUGGCUGUUCGCCAUUUAAAGUGGUACGCGAGCUGGGUUUAGAACGUCGUGAGACAGUUCGGUCCCUAUCUGCCGUGGGCGCUGGAGAACUGAGGGGGGCUGCUCCUAGUACGAGAGGACCGGAGUGGACGCAUCACUGGUGUUCGGGUUGUCAUGCCAAUGGCACUGCCCGGUAGCUAAAUGCGGAAGAGAUAAGUGCUGAAAGCAUCUAAGCACGAAACUUGCCCCGAGAUGAGUUCUCCCUGACUCCUUGA